CCUUUAUUCCCACUGCACUGCAUGUGAAAGGCAUUGCACCAUAUUGCGGACCCUCGCUACGGGGGCGUCUUCAAUUGUUCUGUAGCUACUGGCAGCUGUGUAGAGUGUACUAGCAAGUAGAAAAAACUGCCGUGAGCUAACAGCAGCCAACAUACUGAGCCGAUCCGCUCCUCGUCCACCGCUGCCGAGGAGGGGAUCGCCGGAUCGGCAUCAUCAUCUUCACCCUCCUGGCAGCUCGGAAGGAGUUCUUCAGGGUGCAACGGGAUCUUUUUAGGAGGGAACACCGCACAGUAUUCAUGCAUGGAAGACAACUGCAGCCAAAAGUGUCAGAUGCUCAUCGUUUGAGGCUCCGAGCAGAACUGCCUACGUGGAGCUCGUCCUUUGGGCAACAGAGGAUGGCAUCUUACUAAGUCAUUUUCCAUUGCUGUAUACAAAAGCAAAGCUAUGUGUGCUUCGGAAUUGGAGUUUCGAGCGUCACUCUGGCCGUUAAGUUAUAAAUUUGUUUGGUCCAAACGUAUCGGGAGGAUCAGUCAUGUCAUGAAUCUACAUAUACAAAUCACGAUGGAAGCUACUACUAGUGUGAAUUCUGGGUAAGAGAUGCGUGCGUGCGUGCUGCCUUUAUUGUUUUGGUUUACCACUACAUUAUAAGCUUAUACAUUGCCAAAGGUUGGCGCGAGAUACUACAGGGUUAUCUAGCAUUGCAUAUAUAGGUUGCAAUAA